rnacentral:rRNA from 1 species
AUUGAACUCUGGCGGAAGGCCUAACACAUGCAAGUCGAACGAGUGGCGGACGGGUGAGUAAUGUCUGGGAAACUGCCCGAUGGAGGGGGAUAACUACUGGAAACGGUAGCUAAUACCGCAUACCAUCGGAUGUGCCCAGAUGGGAUUAGCUAGUAGGUGGGGUAACGGCUCACCUAGGCGACGAUCCCUAGCUGGUAUGCGAGGAUGACCAGUCACAAUGGAAUUGAGACACGGUCCAGACUCCGACGGGAGGCAGCAGUGGGGAAUAUUGCACAAUGGGCGCAAGCCUGAUGCAGCCAUGCCGCGUGUAUGAAGAAGGCCUUCGGGUUGUAAAGUACUUUCAGCGGGGAGGCUUUACUCUCCGAAGAAGCACCGGCUAACUCCGGGCCAGCUGCCGCGGUAAUGC